rnacentral:rRNA from 1 species
CAAUAGCGUACAUUAAAGUUGUUGCAGUUAAAAAGCUCGUAGUUGGAUUUCUGGUGGGAGCGAUCGGUCUGGCGCUUAGCGCGAGUACUUGCAUCGUCUCCGGCCAUCCUUGGGGAGAGUCUGUCUGGCAUUAGGUUGUCGGGCAGAGGAUCCUCAUCGUUUACUGUGAAAAAAUUAGAGUGUUCAAAGCAGGCUUAUGCCGUUGAAUAUAUUAGCACGGAAUAAUAAGAUAGGACUUUGGUACUAUUUUGUUGGUUUGCGCACCAAAGUAAUGACUAAUAGGGACAGUUGGGGGUAUUCGUAUUCCGUUGUCAGAGGUGAAAUUCUUGGAUUUACGGAAGACGAACUACUGCGAAAGCAUUUACCAAGGAUGUUUUCAUUAA